rnacentral:rRNA from 1 species
UACGUAGGGGGCUAGCGUUGUCCGGAUUUAUUGGGCGUAAAGAGCGUGUAGGCGGCCUGGUAGGUCUGCUGUGAAAACUCGAGGCUCAACCUCGAGAUGUCGGCGGAAACCAUCUGGCUAGAGUCCGGAAGAGGAGAGUGGAAUUCCUGGUGUAGCGGUGAAAUGCGCAGAUAUCAGGAAGAACACCUAUGGCGAAGGCAGCUCUCUGGGACGGUACUGACGCUGAGGCACGAAAGCGUGGGGAGCAAACAGG